CACUGCAGAUGAUCCAGGAUGAACAUCUUCAUGUCGUCCUUCUUGUUGAACGUGAACAGCUGCAGCUGGAACAAUCACAUGUCAAGUUUGAGGAUGCCGGUCCACUACUGACACCAACCGCUCACAGCACUAUUUCCCCCGCCACCACCCCCCACAGGCCCCAGCUAUCACUGCCACUUCCACCGGUCAUUUUCCCUAUAGAGACCAUUGCUCUGCCCCGCCGGUUGCGAGCCCGCAGAGGUGGUGUGGACCAUGGGGUCCUUCGCCUGCUGGCUUGUGUCUCAGCUUCAGCCACUUCAGCCACUGAGGAGCUUGCUCUCCGUAUUGCCCUGAUUAAUGCUAGAUCGCUAGCAAACAAGACUUUCUUGUUAAAAGACUUUUUCACCUCUCGUGAUCUGGAUAUUCUGCUCCUGACGGAGACUUGGCUUCAGGCUGUGCAGAGACGUGAAGGUGUCCAGCUGAGUCUCCAUUUUCCAGCAUCCGGAUGAAACCCUGGCCCUUAAUUGUCCGUGCUAUUGAACAAGACACCAGCAUUAAACACACACACCGACCCCCCGCUGCACCCUCACAGGACCUUCCAGGUCCUUGUUGGAUUCACUGUGUGGUGUCAACACGUCCACAACUCCUGAUGAGAGGGACAGUGUCGGUGUCACUGUGGGCGACAUGAAGACAACCUGGAUCAGAGUCUGAUCUGGAGUCAGUCUGGUCGCUCAGGUUUCUGUUUCACAUCUCAGUACAUGAGGUCCGCCGCCCCCCCGCUCAGGUCCGCCUCUUUGCUCUCCUGGAAGGGAAACUGGAUCCCCGCCAGUCGG